AGUGAACGCUGGCGGUAGGCCUAACACAUGCAAGUCGGACGGCAGCACAGUAAGAGCUUGCUCUUACGGGUGGCGAGUGGCGGACGGGUGAGGAAUACAUCGGAAUCUACUUUUUCGUGGGGGAUAACGUAGGGAAACUUACGCUAAUACCGCAUACGACCUACGGGUGAAAGCAGGGGAUCUUCGGACCUUGCGCGAUUGAAUGAGCCGAUGUCGGAUUAGCUAGUUGGCGGGGUAAAGGCCCACCAAGGCGACGAUCCGUAGCUGGUCUGAGAGGAUGAUCAGCCACACUGGAACUGAGACACGGUCCAGACUCCUACGGGAGGCAGCAGUGGGGAACAUUGGACAAUGGGCGCAAGCCUGAUCCAGCCAUACCGCGUGGGUGAAGAAGGCCUUCGGGUUGUAAAGCCCUUUUGUUGGGAAAGAAAAGCAGCAGGUUAAUACCCCGCUGUUCUGACGGUACCCAAAGAAUAAGCACCGGCUAACUUCGUG
rnacentral:rRNA from 1 species